AUUGAACGCUGGCGGAAUGCUUUACACAUGCAAGUCGAACGGCAGCACGGACUUCGGUCUGGUGGCGAGUGGCGAACGGGUGAGUAAUACAUCGGAACGUGCCCAAUCGUGGGGGAUAACGUAGCGAAAGCUACGCUAAUACCGCAUACGAUCUAAGGAUGAAAGCGGGGGAUCGCAAGACCUCGCGCGAUUGGAGCGGCCGAUGGCAGAUUUAGGUGGUUGGUAGGGUAAAGGCCUACCAAGCCGACGAUCUGUAGCUGGUCUGAGAGGAUGAUCAGCCACACUGGGACUGAGACACGGCCCAGACUCCUACGGGAGGCAGCAGUGGGGAAUUUUGGACAAUGGACGCAAGUCUGAUCCAGCCAUUCCGCGUGCAGGAUGAAGGCCCUCGGGUUGUAAACUGCUUUUGUACAGAACGAAAAGGCUCUGGUUAAUACCUAGGGCUCAUGACGGUACUGUAAGAAUAAGCACCGGCUAACUACGUGCCAGCAGCCGCCGUAA
rnacentral:rRNA from 1 species